UAAAUCAAACUUAUUGGUUAAAUAAGAUUCUUCACAAAGCCUUCGUCGUCUUCCUAACCUUAACCCAAAAAUCCUGACCACUGAACAUGAAGAGCAACCAUAUGGAGAUCGAUUCAGCUUACAAUUUCUAUUACAAAAAAUCUAAUUAGGGUUUUGAAUCUGGAAGUUGGUUUUCUGUACUCUCAGUUUCAUAGACAAAAUUUUAUAAUCUGGGAAACAUUGUCUCGAUUGGGAGGAAAAUUAACAAACCGAAUAUCCGUGACUUCCUCUGUAUUUCAUAUGAUAUCUUCCUGCGCAUGGGCAACCUACUCUGUGACGAUGGAUACUUGUGGGGACGAUAAAGAUGGAGACUGCUUAUUCGAUUGCCCUGAUAAAAAUGUUAUCCCAGGAUCAAGUCACCAUCUGAAGUCGGGACAGAAUCAAUUCAUCAAGAGUACCAAACAAUUUUAGUUUAUUUGUAUAUCGUUCUUUCUUUUCUUUCUUUCAGCCUUUUAUUUCUCAUAUUUUUCUGAAUACAGAUAGUUUGUUAGGCUAUAUGGGUUAUUUUUGUUCACGGGUCUGGUAAGAGCUUUGAUUUUCUUUUCAAAGUCCAGUACUUUAUCUGUUAGUUGAUCUGAAUGAUUGAAGUAUUGAUUGGUUCAAAGCU